UACAUGGGGUGCAAACGUUGCUCGGAAUUACUGGGCGUAAAGGGCGUGUAGGCGGCCAACUAAGUCCGACGUGAAAUCCCCAGGCUUAACCUGGGAACUGCGUCGGAUACUGGAUGGCUUGAAUCCGGGAGAGGGAUGCAGAAUUCCAGGUGUAGCGGUGAAAUGCGUAGAUAUCUGGAGGAAUACCGGUGGCGAAGGCGGCAUCCUGGACCGGCAUUGACGCUGAAGCGCGAAAGCUAGGGGAGCAAACGGG
rnacentral:rRNA from 1 species